rnacentral:rRNA from 1 species
UUCAUAACCCUUUGUUGUCCGACUCUGUUGCCUCCGGGGCGACCCUGUCUUCGGGCGGGGCUCCGGGUGGACACUUCAAACUCUUGCUUAACUUUGCAGUCUGAGUAAACUUAAUUAAUAAAUUAAAACUUUUAACAACGGAUCUCUUGGUUCUGGCAUCGAUGAAGAACGCAGCGAAAUGCGAUAAGUAAUGUGAAUUGCAGAAUUCAGUGAAUCAUCGAAUCUUUGAACGCACAUUGCGCCCCCUGGUAUUCCGGGGGGCAUGCCUGUUCGAGCGUCAUUUCACCACUCAAGCCUCGCUUGGUAUUGGGCAACGCGGUCCGCCGCGUGCCUCAAAUCGACCGGCUGGGUCUUCUGUCCCCUAAGCGUUGUGGAAACUAUUCGCUAAAGGGUGCUCGGGAGGCUACGCCGUAAAACAACCCCAUUUCUAAGGUUGACCUCGGAUCAGGUAGGGAUACCCGCUGAACUUAAGCAUA